rnacentral:rRNA from 1 species
AAUGAACGUUGGCGGCGUGGAUUAGGCAUGCAAGUCGAGCGGCAGCAGGCCCGCAAGGGCGCUGGCGAGCGGCGAAAGGGAGAGUAACACGCGGGUACCUGCCCUCGGGACCGGGAUAGCUGCGGGAAACUGCAAUUAAUACCGGAUAAUGUCCCCGGACCAAAUGGUGUGAUUCCGCCUGAGGAGGGGCCCACGUCCUAUCAGCGAGUUGGUGAGGUAACGGCUCACCAAGGCUACGACGGGUACGGGGUGUGAGAGCAUGCCCCCGCUCACUGGGACUGAGACACUGCCCAGACACCUACGGGUGGCUGCAGUCGAGAAUCUUCCGCAAUGGGCGAAAGCCUGACGGAGCGACGCCGCGUGCGGGAUGAAGGCCUUCGGGUUGUAAACCGCUGUCAGAGGGGAGCAAGUUCAUGGGGGUUCUCCCCUGUGUUUGAGUGAUCCUCAGAGGAAGCGCAGGCUAAGUCCGUGCCAGCCGCCGCAGUAA